AAAAGAUUGUGGGUCAUAAUAGCCGGAAAAGCAUGCUGGCUUGCAUACUGCAAAAUGCGACUAGAUGCAGCAGCAAGUCCUGGUAUUUUUGGCAUACU